AGGAAACGUAGCAUAUUACAGCCAGAUAUGAAACUGGCACUAAAUCUUCUGCCUGUCUGGUUACCUUCCCCAAGCCCUUUACUCCUGACUGUUCUCUUUCUUUUCCUAAAUGUCUCAGUUAAAGAAACUUCACUUUUUUUUUCUUCUUCUGACCAUUCCAGUGUUGAAUUCUACCCAGAUUCUGUCUGCACUGAGGUUUCCACAUACACGUCACAUGUAGCAGAUAGGAGAAAGGAAAGAACAUAAUAUAUGGGAAGCCCAGAGACAGCUUUUUCUUCCUUGCAAAGGAGUCAGAGACAACAACAUCCUGCAUGUCUCAGAUCUGGUUUAAAGAGAGGGAAAUGCCACAUGCUAAAUGUGAAUUCUUGUGACACUUGGCAGUCAGGAUGCUCCAGAUGGCUGGCUGAGAUGCAGAUCUUUACAACGUGGGCUCCUGCAUCGUCCGACAAACCGUGUGCUUUGCCUCAAAAUCCACACUUUGCUGUGAACCCAGCCUCCAGUCUGCCAUAAGCGUUUUAAGCACCAGACCCAAUAUCACCUAGCAAAUCAGCAGCAGAAGUGAGACGAUGUCAAAUGAAGAAUGACAGGAUCCUAGGUGCUUCUUCAUUCAUAAUAGCACCCUGUCUCUCACUAGUGCUGGUCUAAAAGCCAUUAUUCUUAAUAAGUGAAAUCUCAAAAAUGUGUCUGGACCAUGUAAUCAGCCUUUCACGCCAGAUCCUCAGCAGCAUAAACCAGUGUACCUUCAGUGGAGCUCUAAUGUGUUACAGCAGCUAAGGAUAUGGCUUGCUGGGUCCCCCCCCCCCCAAUAAUACAUAAUUUCGUAUAAAUAAAUUUACACUACUCAUAACA